rnacentral:rRNA from 1 species
GUAGGGGGCAAGCGUUGUCCGGAAUCAUUGGGCGUAAAGCGCGUGUAGGCGGUUCGGCAAGUCUGCUGUGAAAGUCCAGGGCUCAACCCUGGAAUGCCGGUGGAAACUGUCGGGCUAGAGUCCGGAAGAGGCGAGUGGAAUUCCUGGUGUAGCGGUGAAAUGCGCAGAUAUCAGGAGGAACACCAAUGGCGAAGGCAGCUCGCUGGGACGUGACUGACGCUGAGACGCGAAAGCGUGGGGAGCAAACAGGAUUAGAUACCCUGGUAGUCCACGCCGUAAACGAUGGGCACUAGGUGUGGGAGGUGUCGACUCCUCCCGUGCCGGCGCUAACGCAUUAAGUGCCCCGCCUGGGGAGUACGGCCGCAAGGCUA